UCUGUCUCAACCCUGGCAGGGGUGGCUGCUGUGUCCCAUGUGCAUCAGUAGGUGGCAGAGAGGAGAGGCUAUGGUUAUGUUCAGUGUUCUGCCCUGUGAACAUCUGAAUGAUGAGCACCCUAACAUU